rnacentral:rRNA from 1 species
CCUACGGGUGGCAGCAGUGAGGAAUAUUGGUCAAUGGGCGGAAGCCUGAACCAGCCAAGUAGCGUGCAGGAUGACGGCCCUACGGGUUGUAAACUGCUUUUAUACGGGAAUAACGCGCCUUACGUGUAGGGCUUUGCAUGUACCGCAUGAAUAAGGACCGGCUAAUUCCGUGCCAGCAGCCGCGGUAAUACGGAAGGUCCGGGCUUUAUCCGGAUUUUUUGGGUUUAAAGGGAGCGUAGGCCGGAUGGCAAGCGUGCUGUGAAAUGUCCGGGCUCAACCCGGGCCGUGCAGGGGGAACUGGCGUGCUGGAGUGCGCGGAAAGCAGGCGGAAUUCGUGGUGUAGCGGUGAAAUGCUUAGAUAUCACGAAGAACUCCGAUUGCGAAGGCAGCUCACUGGACUGCAACUGACACUGAUGCUCGAAAGUGUGGGUAUCAAACAGGAUUAGAUACCCGGGUAGUC